CCAGGGGUUGCCACCCCUGGCUAUUAAACUCCGCCGCUUCGCGGCU
rnacentral:sRNA from 1 species